rnacentral:lncRNA from 1 species
UGCGACGAUAACUGCCCAAUCGCACUUAUUUGAAAAACUUAUAUGGGCUGUCCGAUUGGAGACACGAGAGCCGUUUGAUCUAGCCUAUUCGAAGAAUUAAUCUCAAUCAUUUGCGCACGCUGGAGUGGCCCUGAGUCAUUCGAUCAGCCAGGCACAUGGAUCAUCAGCGUGGCUUCCUGCAUGGAGUCUGUGUUAGCGUGUCCGCCACACAGCGUGCGGCGACUCAUCGUGCUAUUGACUGGGUAUCCUCGUGGCCCGUUUUUUUUUAUUUACGGAUUGACCCCCUUUUAUUGAAUUUUUUUUCAAAUGGCUCCUCCC